CCUCCAACCCCGCUACGGGGUGUGUGUGUGGGGGUCCGGUGGCUCCUGCUCUGUUCGGGCUGGGAUUUGGGGUGGGGUGGGUGGGGGUGGGGGUCCCCACGCCCCCCCCACACCCCCCCGGCCCUGACACCCGGCCGCCGGCAGCCUGGGGGAGGAAUUUUACCGCGAGGCCAUCGAGCACUGCCGCAGCUACAAUGCCCGGCUGUGCGCCGAGCGCAGCAUGCGCCUGCCCUUCCUCGACUCGCAGACCGGCGUGGCGCAGAACAACUGCUACAUCUGGAUGGAGAAGACCCACCGGGGGCCCGGUGAGCCCCCCCCCCGGGAUGGUCCCUGUCACCUCCCCACCCCAACCCCACCUGGGUCACCUCUAGGGACCCCCCGCCCCAGCCAGCCGGGGGAAUCCCGUCCCGGGUGUCCCGCUGUGGUCCCGUGCGCCCAUGGGUGGCCCACGGUGACCGUGAGCACGCCGUGGCCACCGCCGUGGGCACCCCACCGCGUCCCCAAGCACUCCAUGGUGUCCCCAGGCACCCCACGGUGUCCCCCGGCACCCCACCGUGUCCCCAGGCACCCCGUUGCCACCACCAUGGGCACCCUAUGGUGUCCCCAAGCACCCCGCCAUGUCCCCAGGUACCCCAUUGCCACCACCAUGGGCACCCUAUGGUGUCCCCAGGCACCCCACCAUGUCCCCAGGCACCCCACCAUGUCCCCAGGCACCCCAUGGCCACCACCAUGGGCACCCUAUGGUGUCCCCAAGCACCCCACCAUGUCCCCAGGCACCCCAUGGUGUCCCCAGGCACCCCAUGGCCACCACCAUGGGCACCCCAUGGUGUCCCCAGGCACCCCACCAUGUCCCCAGGCACCCCAUAGCCACCACCAUGGGCGGCCCAUGGUGUCCCCAGGCACCCUAUGGCCACCACCAUGGAUGUCCCAAUAUGUCCCCAGGUGUCCCAACACAUCCCCAGGAACCUUGCCCUAUCCUCAGGCACCCCAUGACCACCACCAUAGGUGGCCCACGGUGUCCCCAGGCUCACCAUGGGUGUCCCAACAUGUCCCCAAGCACCCCACGGUGUCCCCAGGCACCCCGCCAUGUCCCCAGGCACCCCAUGGCUACCCCCACAGGUGUCCCAAUAUGUCCCCAAGCACCCCACCAUGUCCCCUGGCAUCCCAUGGUGUCCCCAGACACCCCAUGGCCACCACCAUGGGUGUCCCAACACAUCCCCAGGCACCCCACCAUGUCCCUAAGUACCCCACCAUGUCCCCCGGCACCCCACGGCCACCCCACCGAGACACCAAGCACCCCGGGGGAUGCUCCAUGAGGCUGGGUCCAGGGUUGCGGGGCUGGCUUUGGGGUUGGGGCUGGUGUCGGGGCUGGGGGCAGGGUCCGGGUUUAGGGGCAAGGUCCGGGUUUGGGGUCGGGGGCCAGGUUUGGGGGCAGGGUAUUGGAUUUAGGGUCAAGACUUUGGGUUUAGGGUCAAGACUUUGGGUUUAGGGGUCAAGACUUUGGGUUUGGGGUCAAGACUUUGGGUUUG
rnacentral:lncRNA from 1 species